CCCUUAGAUGUCCUGGGCUGCACGCGCGCUACACUGAUGUGUCCAGUAAGCACCUAACCUCUUCCGAAAGGAACGGGUAACCUUUGCAAAGCACAUCGUGAUGGGGAUAGAUUAUUGCAAUUAUUAGUCUUGAACGAGGAAUUCCUAGUAAGCACAAGUCAUCAACUUGUGUUGAUUACGUCCCUGCCCUUUGUACACACCGCCCGUCGCUCCUACCGAUUGAAUGUUCCGGUGAGCUCUUCGGACUGCGCGGUCUGCAGUUUCUGCGUUCCGUGCGGAAAGUUGCGCAAACCUUAACAUUUAGAGGAAGGAGAAGUCGUAACA
rnacentral:rRNA from 1 species